GUGACCAGAUUCCUAGCCCAGGACUCAUGGUUUUUCCAAAACCAGUGACCGCAUUGGAAUAUACAUUCAGUAGGUCUGAUCCAACUUCGUAUGCAGGGUACAUUGAAGACCUUAAGAAGUUUCUAAAACCAUAUACUUUAGAAGAACAGAAGAACCUCACAGUCUGUCCUGAUGGAGCACUUUUUGAACAGAAGGGUCCAGUUUAUGUUGCAUGUCAGUUUCCUAUUUCAUUACUUCAAGCAUGCAGUGGUAUGAAUGAUCCUGAUUUUGGCUAUUCUCAAGGAAACCCUUGUAUUCUUGUGAAAAUGAACAGAAUAAUUGGAUUAAAGCCUGAAGGAGUGCCAAGGAUAGAUUGUGUUUCAAAGAAUGAAGAUAUACCAAAUGUAGCAGUUUAUCCUCAUAAUGGAAUGAUAGACUUAAAAUAUUUCCCAUAUUAUGGGAAAAAACUGCAUGUAAGUAUUGAGAAGUUCUUAUGUGGUGAUUACUCUUUUGGGAAGCUGGAGCAUGUGUUGACGUACCACUUGUCUGGGGUAGGUAGACGCCAGCCCUGUUUAAUUUGUGCGUCAUCU
rnacentral:sRNA from 1 species